rnacentral:rRNA from 2 species
CCUAAUACAUGCAAGUCGAACGCAUUCUCGUUUUAGAUUGACGGUGCUUGCACCAGAUUGAAAAAACAUUUGAAUGAGUGGCGGACGGGUGAGUAACACGUGGGUAACCUGCCCAAAAGUGGGGGAUAACAUUUGGAAACAAAUGCUAAUACCGCAUAAAAGUUAGAACCGCAUGGUUCUAAUUUGAAAGAUGGUUUCGGCUAUCACUUUUGGAUGGACCCGCGGCGUAUUAGUUAGUUGGUGAGGUAAUGGCUCACCAAGACAAUGAUACGUAGCCGAACUGAGAGGUUGAUCGGCCACAAUGGGACUGAGACACGGCCCAUACUCCUACGGGAGGCAGCAGUAGGGAAUCUUCCACAAUGGGCGCAAGCCUGAUGGAGCAAUACCGCGUGAGUGAAGAAGGGUUUCGGCUCGUAAAACUCUGUUGUUGGAGAAGAACGUAUGUGAUAGUAACUGAUCAUGUAGUGACGGUAUCCAACCAGAAAGCCACGGCUAACUACGUGCCAGCAGCCGCGGUAAUACGUAGGUGGCAAGCGUUAUCCGGAUUUAUUGGGCGUAAAGCGAGCGCAGGCGGUUUUUUAAGUCUGAUGUGAAAGCCCUUGGCUCAACCAAGGAAGUGCAUCGGAAACUGGAGAACUUGAGUGCAGAAGAGGACAGUGGAACUCCAUGUGUAGCGGUGAAAUGCGUAGAUAUAUGGAAGAACACCAGUGGCGAAGGCGGCUGUCUGGUCUGUAACUGACGCUGAGGCUCGAAAGCAUGGGUAGCGAACAGGAUUAGAUACCCUGGUAGUCCCAUGCCGUAAACGAUGAAUGCUAGGUGUUGGAGGGUUUCCGCCCUUCAGUGCCGCAGCUAACGCAUUAAGCAUUCCGCCUGGGGAGUACGACCGCAAGGUUGAAACUCAAGGAAUUGACGGGGGCCGGCACAAGCGGUGGAGCAUGUGGUUUAAUUC